GGAGUGGGAAAGAGGUGGCAUCGGCGGUUCAAGACUGAGUUUUCUAUCUCUUCAGUGCCUCUUUCAACAAUGAAGAUCAAACCAGGUUUUGUGCAAAUAUCUGCUGAGUGAACUACUUAUUUGAAAAUACAUCAUUGGUUAAUAUUCCCUUUUGCUCAUUGAAAUCUCAAAGACUACAGACCCCGCACAAGACAUUCUGACAUUCCCGUCUUUGAAAUGAAUGACAGCAAUGAUAAAUAUGGCUCACCUCCAGAGAUACAGAUCUCACAACUUCAUAUUUUUAAUAUAAAUUAUUAAUCUGAGAAGCAGAGAGAGAUAAGACCCAUGAUAAUCAAGCCAUAAACAGAUGCAUUUACUAGCUGAAUGGCCAACAAUGGAAUUCAACAAAUCCAUCUUGAGCACGGCAGCCAGGAGUGUGGUGCAAUUCCAUUAGAUGAAAGAGAUCUACACAUUCAGAAGCACAUGAUUCUUCCCCCUUCCAUGAUUCCAGUGGCCAAUAGACAAACUACAAUAAAGCCAUGCCCUGACUGGAUGUGCCUAACAUUUGUCUGGUGCUUAAAGGAGUUGGCUGCAUGCGUGGGAUGGAGAAGGAUUCAACAUUUAAUGGCAGUUAGAAUCAAAUUUUUAACUCAAGAAGGCAGAAGGAAUCCACCUAAAUAAAUGUUGGAAAGUCACCAAAAAUAGUUCUCCAAGUCAGAAGCGGUGCAAAAGCUGCCUCAGCUCUUGGUGGAUUUUCAAUUUCUCCCAGCCAUCUCUGUUUCGCUAAAGGUUUCUGAAGACAGUGGGUAUGUGGCAAACUUCUGCAAUUCUAUAUUAAGAUAAACUGUUAGAUCAAU
rnacentral:lncRNA from 1 species